GACCUAAUGGCAAAAGGUAUCGCGUCCCCGGUUCAUCUGGGGGCUCCGGAUGUAACUUUCAGUGAUGGAGGAAGGCCCUGGUUCGACUCCAGGUUAGGUCA